rnacentral:rRNA from 1 species
UACAAAGGAAUUGACGGGACCCGCACAAGCGGUGGAUGAUGUGGAUUAAUUCGAUGCAACGCGAAAACCUUACCUACCCUUGACAUGUCCGGAAUCCCGAAGAGAUUUGGGAGUGCUCGCAAGAGAACCGGAACACAGGUGCUGCAUGGCUGUCGUCAGCUCGUGUCGUGAGAUGUUGGGUUAAGUCCCGCAACGAGCGCAACCCUUGUCAUUAGUUGCUACGAAAGGGCACUCUAAUGAGACUGCCGGUGACAAACCGGAGGAAGGUGGGGAUGACGUCAAGUCCUCAUGGCCCUUAUGGGUAGGGCUUCACACGUCAUACAAUGGUCGGUACAGAGGGUUGCCAACCCGCGAGGGGGAGCUAAUCCCACAAAGCCGAUCGUAGUCCGGAUCGCAGUCUGCAACUCGACUGCGUGAAGUCGGAAUCGCUAGUAAUCGUGGAUCAGCAUGUCACGGUGAAUACGUUCCCGGGUCUU